rnacentral:rRNA from 1 species
UACGGAGGAUGCGAGCGUUAUCCGGAUUUAUUGAGUUUAAAGGGUGCGUAGGCGGACGCUUAAGUCAGCGGUAAAAUUGCGGGGCUCAACCUCGUCGAGCCGUUGAAACUGGGUGCCUUGAGUGGGCGAGAAGUACGCGGAAUGCGUGGUGUAGCGGUGAAAUGCAUAGAUAUCACGCAGAACUCCGAUUGCGAAGGCAGCGUACCGGCGCCCUACUGACGCUGAAGCACGAAGGCGUGGGUAUCGAACAGG